CCAAAGGCUCUUUUCAGAGCCACCCACUACAUCACUGGAGAGCUG
rfam:Calypte anna contig3943, whole genome shotgun sequence.